ACCUGGCUGGCUCAGUCAGUACAGCAUGAGACUCUUGAUCUCAGAGUGGUGGGUUCGAGCCCCACACUAGGUG
rnacentral:tRNA from 1 species